ensembl:misc_RNA Metazoa_SRP Metazoan signal recognition particle RNA
GCCGGGUGUGGUGGCUCACACCUGCAAUCCCAGCACUUUGGGAGGCCAAAGCAGGUGAUCACUUGAGGUCAGGAGUUCGAGUCCAGCCUGGCCAACAUGGUGAAACCCCAUCUCUACUAAAUAUACAAAAAUUAGGCUGGUCACGGGUGUAAUCACAGCACUUUGGCAAGCCGAGGUGGGCAGAUCACCUGAGGUCAAGAGUUCAAGACCAGCCUGACCAACAUGGUGAAACCCCGUCUCU